AAGGUCGAAAGGGGAAAUUCAUUCGCGUUUCGGCCGUCGGCGAUGAACGGUCGUGUGACGAACGGCGUUCGCGCGUCGUUUGCGCCUUCUGUUCGUUUCGAACCGACGUCGAACGCGUGCACUUUUCCCCUAGUAGGACGUCGCGAUUCGUUGGGUGUCGGUCUACGGCUCGCGGUGGAGCCCGCGCGCGGUGUCGUUUUACGACGGCUCGUGCGCGGACCCGCGAUGUUCUGGCCGACUCGCUCGACGGUAUACAGACGGCACGAGGCCGCUAUCUAUCGCAGUUAGCGUCUGACCCGUGGCAAGCGCGUCCGGUGUCUAAGACGGCGAUCGGACCUAGUGCCGGUUCCGUCCCCGGACGACUGUUGGUCACGGUGUAUUUUUCUCGGACAGACCUCGUUGAAAUGCCGAUCUGCGACGCUAUAGCUUUGGGUACUUUCAGGACCCGUCUUGAA
rnacentral:rRNA from 1 species